rnacentral:rRNA from 1 species
GUGACUGCGUACCUUUUGUAUAAUGGGUCAGCGACUUAUAUUCUGUAGCAAGGUUAACCGUAUAGGGGAGCCGAAGGGAAACCGAGUCUUAACUGGGCGUUAAGUUGCAGGGUAUAGACCCGAAACCCGGUGAUCUAGCCAUGGGCAGGUUGAAGGUUGGGUAACACUAACUGGAGGACCGAACCGACUAAUGUUGAAAAAUUAGCGGAUGACCUGUGGCUGGGGGUGAAAGGCCAAUCAAACCGGGAGAUAGCUGGUUCUCCCCGAAAGCUAUUUAGGUAGCGCCUCGUGAACUCAUCUUCGGGGGUAGAGCACUGUUUCGGCUAGGGGGCCAUCCCGGCUUACCAACCCGAUGCAAACUACGAAUACCGAAGAAUGUUAUCACGGGAGACACACGGCGGGUGCUAACGUCCGUCGUGAAGAGGGAAACAACCCAGACCGCCAGCUAAGGUCCCAAAGUCAUGGUUAAGUGGGAAACGAUGUGGGAAGGCACAGACAGCCAGGAUGUUGGCUUAGAAGCAGCCAUCAUUUAAAGAAAGCGUAAUAGCUCACUGGUCGAGUCGGCCUGCGCGGAAGAUGUAACGGGGCUAAACCAUGCACCGAAGCUGCGGCAGCGACACUAUGUGUUGUUGGGUAGGGGAGCGUUCUGUAAGCCGUUGAAGGUGUGCUGUGAGGCAUGCUGGAGGUAUCAGAAGUGCGAAUGCUGACAUAAGUAACGAUAAAGCGGGUGAAAAGCCCGCUCGCCGGAAGACCAAGGGUUCCUGUCCAACGUUAAUCGGGGCAGGGUGAGUCGACCCCUAAGGCGAGGCCGAAAGGCGUAGUCGAUGGGAAACAGGUUAAUAUUCCUGUACUUGGUGUUACUGCGAAGGGGGGACGGAGAAGGCUAUGUCAGCCGGGCGACGGUUGUCCCGGUUUAAGCAUGUAGGCGGAGGU